CAAAAAAUGAGAAAAAACAACAUCGCAAAAGCAAUAUGGCAUUGAGAAUUAUUUCUUUUCUGACUCAUUAACGCGACCUCGCAGUGUGAAAAAUAAGUACGUUAUUUUGAGGCACCUCGGGGAUAUGUGUUUAUUCACCUCGGCGCUGCGCGCCUCGGUGAAUAAAUCACAUAUCCCCUCGUUGCCUCAAAAUAACCUAUACUUAUUUCAGAUAAUUCUUCCAGGUUGGCUGAGCACAUCGACAUAAGGGACCGUUCAUUUUUUAUCAGGAGGAGGGGGCUGGUGGUUUUUGCAGGGGGCCAACAGAAAAAAUAGCUAUGUGAGAGGGGGGGGUCACAUUUUGAGGGGGCCACCAAAACAUCAAUGAAUACAUAUAAUAUAUAAAAAUCAAAGCAAUCAACUAUCAUGCUCUUUCAUUUAUAAAAACUCAGAGUAAAGUUUUAGUACAUGCAUCAGUAGACAAUUUAAAUUUAAAG